GCGGGUGUAGCUCAGGGGUAGAGUGUCUGCUUGCCAAGCAGAAGGCCGCGGGUUCGAGACCCGCCGCCCGCUCCA
rnacentral:tRNA from 1 species